UACGUAGGGAGCAAGCGUUGUCCGGAUUUACUGGGCGUAAAGAGCGCGCAGGCGGUCGUUCAAGUCGCGUGUGAAAGCCCCCGGCUCAACUGGGGAGGGUCACGCGAUACUGAUCGACUCGAAGGCAGGAGAGGGUAGUGGAAUUCCCGGUGUAGUGGUGAAAUGCGUAGAUAUCGGGAGGAACACCAGUGGCGAAGGCGACUACCUGGCCUGUAACUGACGCUGAGGCGCGAAAGCGUGGGGAGCAAACAGG
rnacentral:rRNA from 1 species